rnacentral:rRNA from 5 species
AGUCGAGCGAAUCAAUAGGAGCUUGCUCCUGUUGGUUAGCGGCGGACGGGUGAGUAACACGUGGGCAACCUGCCUGUAAGACUGGGAUAACACCGGGAAACCGGUGCUAAUACCGGAUAAUCCUUUUCCUCUCAUGAGGAAAAGCUGAAAGUCGGUUUCGGCUGACACUUACAGAUGGGCCCGCGGCGCAUUAGCUAGUUGGUGAGGUAACGGCUCACCAAGGCGACGAUGCGUAGCCGACCUGAGAGGGUGAUCGGCCACACUGGGACUGAGACACGGCCCAGACUCCUACGGGAGGCAGCAGU